GAAUAACUUCGAGCUGAUCGCACGGUCUCCGUACCGGCGACGCAUCUUUUCAAAUGUCUGCCUUAUCAACUGUCGAUGGUAGGUUCCAUGCCUACCAUGGUGGUAACGGGUAACGGGGAAUCAGGGUUCGAUUCCGGAGAGGGAGCCUGAGAAACGGCUACCACAUCCAAGGAAGGCAGCAGGCGCGCAAAUUACCCACUCCCGGAACGGGGAGGUAGUGACGAAAAAUAACGAUACGGGACUCAUCCGAGGCCCCGUAAUCGGAAUGAGAACACUUUAAAACCUUUAAACGAGGAUCAAUUGGAGGGCAAGUCUGGUGCCAGCAGCCGCGGUAAUUCCAGCUCCAAUAGCGUAUAUUAAAGUUGUUGCGGUUAAAAAGCUCGUAGUCGGAUCUGUGUCUGGACGGUGCCGGACCACCCUGGCGGUCCGUCGUGUCGCGGCCGGCCGUGUCGCGGGACCACGUGUCCCGUCGGCGCGGUCGCCGUCGCGCUCGUCAGCCGUCUCGGGGUGUUAGUUACCGGCACGUCGGCCGGACGUAUUGUCGGCAGGCGGACACGUGUCUCGUGCUUCCGGCGCGCCGCGCGGCCACGCGUCGCGCGGCCGUCGGUGUUCGACGACGGCGGCCGCCUACUCCAAUCUUGCUGCGCGGUGCUCUUCACCGAGUGCCGUCGGCGGGCCGACACGUUUACUUUGAACAAAUUAGAGUGCUCAAAAACAGGCUCGAAUCUGGCGGGGCGGCUUCACGGCCGUCUCGUCAAAGGCCCUGAAUACUGGUCGCAUGGAAUAAUGGAACA
rnacentral:ncRNA from 1 species